CCUACGGGAGGCAGCAGUGAGGAAUAUUGGUCAAUGGGCGGGAGCCUGAACCAGCCAAGUCGCGUGAGGGAAGACGGUCCUAUGGAUUGUAAACCUCUUUAGGCGGGGAGCAAUGCCGGGCACGCGUGCCCGGAGGGAGAGUACCCGCAGAAUAAGCAUCGGCUAACUCCGUGCCAGCAGCCGCGGUAAUACGGGGGAUGCGAGCGUAAUCCGGAUUUAUGGGGUUUAAGGGGUGCGUAGGCGGAUUUUUAAGUCAGGGGUAAAAUGUACGGGCUCAACCCGGGCCGGCCGUUGAAACUGGGGAUCUUGAGUGGGCGAGAAGUAUGCGGAAUGCGUGGUGUAGCGGUGAAAUGCAUAGAUAUCACGCAGAACUCCGAUUGCGAAGGCAGCAUACCGGCGCCCGACUGACGCUGAGGAACGAAAGCGUGGGGAUCGAACAGGAUUAGAUACCCUUGUAGUC
rnacentral:rRNA from 1 species